GCCUUAAGCAUGCAAGUCGAACGAGAAUCUCACUUCGGUGAGAGGACAGUGGCAAACGGGUGAGUAACACGUAGGAAUCUACCGAGUAGUGGGGAAUAGCCAUCCGAAAGGAUGGUUAAUACCGCACACGCCCUUCGGGGGAAAGUAUUAUACGCUAUUUGAGGAGCCUGCGACCUAUCAGGUAGUCGGUGGGGUAAUGGCCUACCGAGCCUAUGACGGGUAGCCGAUGUGAGAGCAUGAUCGGCCACAAGGUUACUGAGACACGGAGCCUACACCUACGGGUGGCAGCAACUGGGAAUCUUGCGCAAUGGACGAAAGUCUGACGCAGCGACACCGCGUGUGGGAAGACGCUUUUCGGAGUGUAAACCACUGUGGCGAGGGAACAAGUUCUGAGUGUACCUCGCUAGAAAGCACCUGCUAACCACGUGCCAGAAGCCUCGGUAAUACGUGGGGUGCAAGCGUUAUCCGGAUUUACUGGGCGUAAAGGGUCCGUCGGCGUCCUUACAAGUUCGUCGUCUAAGCCCCGGGCUUAACUCGGGAUCGGCGAUGAAAACUGUUUGGAUAGAGUAUGUUAGGGGAAGCUAGAAUUCUCGGUGGAGGGGUGAAAUCCGUAGAUAUCGGGAGGAACGCCGCUCGCGAAGGCAGGCUUCUAGAACAUUACUGACGCUCAGGGACGAAAGUUAGGGUAGCAAAAGGGAUUAGAGGCCCCUGUAGUCCUAACCGUAAACGCUGUUCGCUAGUUCCCUG
rnacentral:rRNA from 1 species